rnacentral:rRNA from 1 species
GACGAACGCUGGCGGCGGGCUUAACACAUGCAAGUCGAACGGAAAGGCCCUGCUUUUGUGGGGUGCUCGAGUGGCGAACGGGUGAGUAACACGUGAGUAACCUGCCCUUGACUUUGGGAUAACUUCAGGAAACUGGGGCUAAUACCGGAUAGGAGCUCCUGCUGCAUGGUGGGGGUUGGAAAGUUUCGGCGGUUGGGGAUGGACUCGCGGCUUAUCAGCUUGUUGGUGGGGUAGUGGCUUACCAAGGCUUUGCCGGGUAGCCGGCCUGAGAGGGUGACCGGCCACGUUGGGCCUGGGAUACGGCCCAGACUCCUACGGGAGGCAGCAGUGGGGAAUAUUGCACUAUGGGCGGAAGCCUGAUGCAGCAACGCCGCGUGCGGGAUGACGGCCUUCGGUUUGUAAACCGCUUUCGCCUGUGACGAAGCGUGAGUGACGGUAAUGGGUAAAGAAGCACCGGCUAACUACGUG